AAUGGGGCCGGAUCCUCAGCUGGCCGACCGAGUGGAGAAGCAGAGUUCCGGCAGGGCCAGGGCUCCUCAACCCUGUGAGUGACCGGUGCUACCGAGGAUAAACCGAGCCUGUUCCCCUGUUGGAACUGUAGUCCAAAAUCACAAAAGCUGUGUAUUCUGGCUUUCCUCUUUUGGCUCUUGGCUCCGCCCCCCGUCUGAGCCGCGAACACCGCCCUCGAGCGCCAAGCCUUGAGGCUCCAGGGAGUUGCCGUUUCUGUCCAGAGUACGCAGGCGCGGGAGUGGGGGUAGGGGGGCGAACCCUGGGCUCUCCUGAGGUGGGGGAAGCUCUUGGAGCUACAACCGCGGGGGGCUGCGCGUAGCGCGAAGGGUAAGGGGCGUCGUAAGAGAGGUUGGAGCCCGCGCUCGUCUUGGGGACUGUCCAGAUCUUUAUUGAGGCUUGAAGCGAUGAUCCUGACUGAUACCAGUGCCCUGCUCAUGGUUCACGUGGCGUUUCCUGAGGUUCUGGCGUGGUGCCUCAGAGUGCCUGAAGCCCCAGCUGAAAACCCAAGAUGGGUCAAGCAUGUUUGUUGUUCAGCUUCAGGAGUCCUUGAGAACUGCCCUGUUCCUGGAAGCCCACCAAAGUUACUUAACCAAGCAGAUGUCUGAGAGCAAAGAAAAUCAUAAAUGUUCCUGGGAAAUUG